rnacentral:rRNA from 1 species
GAUGAACGCUGGCGGCGUGCCUAAUACAUGCAAGUCGAGCGAACAGAUGAGGAGCUUGCUCCUCUGACGUUAGCGGCGGACGGGUGAGUAACACGUGGAUAACCUACCUAUAAGACUGGGAUAAUUUCGGGAAACCGGAGCUAAUACCGUAUAAUAUAUUGAACCGCAUGGUUCAAUAGUGAAAGACGGUUUUGCUGUCACUUAUAGAUGGAUCUGCGCUGCAUUAGCUAGUUGGUAAGGUAACGGCUUACCAAGGCAACGAUGCGUAGCCGACCUGACAGGGUGGUCGGCCACACUGGAACUGAGACACGGUCCAGACUCCUGCGAGAGGCAGCAGUAGGGAAUCGUCCGCAAUGGGCGAAAGCUUGACGGAGCGACGGCGCGUGAGUGAUGAAGGUCUUCGGAGCGGAAAACUCUGUUAUGAGUGAAGAACAGAUGUGGAAGUAGCUGUGCACGUCUUGACGGUACCUAGUCAGAAAGCAACGGCUAACUACGUG